UGCAGAUUGUGCCAAAGUGAAAACUAAGCACUCUGAGAAAUUGUAUUUGUUCCUUGGUUGUGCAUCACUUACAGGAUAUUCUCAAAAGAAAUGAGGAGACCACAGGAAAUGCUUUUAAGCUGAUAUGCCGGAGGCUUAGAGCCAUGUUAGCUUUCUGAUAUGGGCAAAAGUCGCUUUAGAGUGCUUUGAUGGUGUAGCAAUGCUACUUGUAAGAUGAUUUAAUCCAAACUUUUCUGUAUUGCCUACAUUCUUCCUGGUGAAAUAUCACAACCAUGGAGUAAAACAAUAGAGCGGUCUCCACUGGAGACAUGUAUGUAACAUUAGAAACCAAGUCCAGGUAGAGCAAAAACCACUACGAAAUGCUGAAAUGAAGUGGAGCACAGCCUUAGUAUGGUGAGUCAUAUCCUCGGUCCUUAAACUGCAGACAGGGAGGUGGGUUGGUCAGUGAGCAGCUACAGCCUUUCUGCAAUUGUUCUUAUGUAUAUAAUCUGUCCAUGUAGGAGCUCAGUCGUAGUUGAAGAUCCUUUGAGUCUGUACUGUGCAAACCUGAAAAAAAAACAGAUUCCACCUCAUGGAGUGCAAGAUGCUGGAAGCACAGUAGCUUUGAAUUUCUUCAGUUCAGCUAAAGGUAGGUAAGUUCUUUAAAUAUGUAUUAGUAUCAUCAUAAAUUCAACAUACAUUAAUAUAAAAAGUGCUUAUUGGUUACUUGAGACCUCUAACCCUCCCUUUGCUAGCCAGUGAUACAGAACCCUUAGAAAUCGGAGUUUGUUGGUGAAAGUAAUGCUCUUCAGAUGUUUCUUCCCAUUCAUUUUUCUGAAUUCCUCACACUCCACUUUGCUGAAAAUCUUCUCUGUGGUCUUUGGGGUUUGAGGCAGGCAGGAUCUGUAAGCCAGUGUGAUGCUCAGCUGAGAUACUCCCAUCCCUCACGAAGUCCACCUCUUCCCUGACCUCAGUCAGCAUAUGGACAGCAGCCACCCACACGUGGCACAUUAGAGGAUUAAGACCUUAAUGACAUUUUUUAAAUGCCACUAUUAAAAAGGGACUUCCAUCCUGUAGAACACUUAAAAAAUAACAUUUGUAAAAAUGCUUCCUGAGCAGCAUAUUCCCUUUAACAUUAUCUCAUCUAUUUGUAUACUAAUAAGAAUUCUUUUCUUCUCAGUCUCUGCUUGAACAUUUCAACACUGGAUUUAUGAUUCCAUGCUUUGUGCUGUCAAGAUUUUACUUAUAUUUAGAAAAAUAGUAUCUCAGUAAUUAAUUGCAGAUAAAUUAUUGACAAAGCAGCAGAUGCAAAGGAAGAGUGCUCUAUAUCUAAAAGAGGCUUUUCAAGCAGAUACAUUUGUAAUAUCACAUAUAUAUACUUUUAAUAUUCACUUUUCUGAAAUAAAUCCAUGGUUAUCUAGCA
rnacentral:lncRNA from 1 species